GAGGGAGCCUGAGAGAUGGCUACCACUUCCAAGGAAGGCAGCAGGCGCGCAACUUACCCAAUCCCGAUACGGGGAGGUAGUGACAAUAAAUAACAAUACGGGACUCGAAAAGAGCCUCGUAAUUGGAAUGAGUACAAUUUAAACCCCUUAACGAGGAACAAUUGGAGGGCAAGUCUGGUGCCAGCAGCCGCGGUAAUUCCAGCUCCAAUAGCGUAUAUUAAAGUUGUUGCAGUUAAAAAGCUCGUAGUUGGAUUUGGGGGCAUCGGCGGCUCGGUCUGCCGGGAUGGUGUGCACUAGCUGCCGAGCUCUUCCUUCCAGCUUGCCGCCUUCUGCUCUUAAGUGAGUGGGAGGCAAGGCUCUGGAUCGUUUACUUUGAAAAAAUUAGAGUGUUUAAAGCAGGCCCUUGGCGCCUUGAAUACAUUAGCAUGGGAUAAUGGAAUAGGACCGCUCGAUCUCCUAUUUUGUUGGUUUCCGGGGGAUUCGGUAAUGAUUAAUGGAGAUGGUUGGGGCAAUUCAUAUUUAAUUGUCAGAGGUGAAAUUCUUGGAUUUAUGAAAGAUGAACUGGUGCGAAAGCGUCUUGCAAGGACGUUUUCAUCAAUCAAGAACGAAAGUUAAGGGAUCGAAGACGAUCAGAUACCGUCGUAGUCUUAACCAUAAACGAUGCCGACCAGGGGUUGGGAGACGUUACAAUUCGAUGACUCCCCCAGCACCUUGCGAGAAAUCACAAGUCUUUGGGUUCCGGGGGGAGUAUGGUCGCAAGGCUGAAACUUAAAGGAAUUGACGGAAGGGCACCACCAGGAGUGGAGCCUGCGGCUUAAUUUGACCCAACACGGGAAAACUUACCAGGUCCAGACAUAGUAAGGAUUGACAGAUUGAGAGCUCUUUCUUGAUUCUAUGGGUGGUGGUGCAUGGCCGUUCUUAGUUGGUGGAGUGAUUUGUCUGGUUAAUUCCGAUAACGAACGAGACCUCAGCCUACUAAAUAGGUUACGCGUACCAUCUACUAUGGGUGAAAGGUAGCACAUUGGAGGAGCCUUCUGGUGACCUUCGUGAGCUGCUGGGAUCCUUGACGAGUUCGCGGGUAUACUUCUUAGAGGGGCUAUUUGUAUCGCAGCAAAUGGAAGUUUGAGGCAAUAACAGGUCUGUGAUGCCCUUAGAUGUCCUGGGCCGCACGCGCGCUACACUGAUUGAAUCAAAGAGUCUAACACCUUGGCCGAGAGGUCUGGGUAAUCUUUUGAAAUUCAAUCGUGAUGGGGAUAGAUCAUUGCAAUUAUUGAUCUUCAACGAGGAAUUCCUAGUAAGCGCAAGUCAUCAGCUUGCGCUGAUUGCGUCCCUGCCCUUUGUACACACCGCCCGUCGCUCCUACCGAUUGAAUGAUCCGGUGAAAUCUUCGGAUGGUGGUAUACAUCUGCCAGUGGAAACAUUGGCAGUAAUGCCGCCAGAAGUUGCUUUAACCUUAUCAUUUAGAGGAAGGAGAAGUCGUAACAAGGUU
rnacentral:rRNA from 1 species